rnacentral:rRNA from 1 species
UACGAGGGGAGCAAGCGUUGUUCGGAUUUACUGGGCGUAAAGCGCGUGUAGGCGGCGAAGAAAGUCGGGUGUGAAAUCCCUCGGCCUAACCGAGGAAUUGCGCCCGAAACUUCUUUGCUUGAGGACAGGAGGGGAGCCUGGAAUUCCUGGUGGAGCGGUGAAAUGCGUUGAUAUCAGGAGGAACACCGGCGGCGAAGGCGAGGCUCUGGCCUGUUUCUGACGCUGAGACGCGAAAGCUAGGGGAGCAAACGGG